rnacentral:lncRNA from 10 species
UGAAAGGGCUUUCCUUGUCUUAAGCCUCUGUGUAUGAAACACUCUGGAACCCACCGGCCUAGGUGUUAGAACAGCACCGAAGUUGCCAGGGCCAGGGGUCCAGCCAUCCUGACCUCUGCUAGCCACCCUGCAAGGGCCGAUGUUCCCACGCAGGAGGCCCCAGGGAGGUGGUACUGAGCAACCGGCCACACCCAAGGAAACAGCUCAGAGCUCAACUUCCUCCUGAAUUAGGCCACACCCGAGGCCUCCCGGGUCUCAUCCACGCCUCUGGGUCCAUCACUAAACAGAAGGCACAAUCCCACUAACUCUUACUCCAUCGCUGCUCAUGAAACUCCUGCCAGUAAGGACUGGGUCAAGCACCUGAAAACCAGAGCUCGUCCGUGGCUUCACUUGUUUUGGACUAAGGAGCUGAGGAGCGUGCAAGACUGUACUUGGAGAAUCUGUUUCUUGCUGCCAUUUCGUCACUGAACACUAUUUUUUUUCUCCUUCUUUUUUUGUAAGAAAAGGAGAACACAUAAAACCCCACCAGAACAAACUCCACUCGGCCCUGAAAGUAUUUACAAUCACGGCCCUGAAAGUACUGAAAGUAUUUACAAUCACGUUACAGUUCAUUCACUGCUGCAGAACCUCUCUCCAGCGAUCAAGGUCGAAGGGAGCCGACGUCGCCCUCUAUCGGCUCCCUGCUGCACUAGAAGCUCCUUGCAGACAGUCUUACAUAGCAUGGCGACUCCAGUCCCAGCACUGCUUACCCCACGGUCCAAGUGCCAGGCAGAGACUAC